GGUAACUAUUUUCAUGGAAACAAAACUUGCACGAAUGCUUGAUAUUGAGCAUGUUUCUUUCAGUAUAACUUAUGUUUCUUUCAUGGAAAAUUGGGGGAUGCCUCCAAGAAAUAUAAAUGAAUAAUUCUUUUUACUUCUGUACAUAGAUGGUAAUUGUUUAUAGAGCUAUACGAGGUUCUUUUCUCUUACAUCCACAUGAUAUUAGACACUAGUGUUUAAUACAGGAGUAUCUAAGAGAAGUUUGAUAUAAAGUUUCAAUUGAAUGAUGCAACUGCUCAUUUAUGGAAGUUGGAAAAGCUUUUUACUUAGGCAUCUUAGAUUCACACAAGAUACUUGCGAUCUGUGGGAUUGUUUGUUUGGCAUAUACCUUGAAUGACAAUUCUUGUAACCGAGUACCAAAAACAAGCAUCUAGCUCAGUUAUUUAGCUUAUCAGGGAAUCCUAAACAUCUGAAUGAAGUGUUGCUGAAUAUGUUACUGUUUUUUGGUCUUUCUUUGUCAUCCUUUUUUCCCUAACCUAUUAGUAGCCUAAUAUAUCCUGAUUAAUGUUCAAGGUCAUCUUUAACCUCAAUAUAAUUGCAACUUGUCCUCUGAAGACUAGAUUUCUUGUGGUUGUCUAAAUCAGUGCAGCCUAUCAAGACUGAAGUUGAAUGUUUCAAAUUUUCAAUCCUCUGUUGGGCAAUCCCAGCUGAUUGUUUGUAAGGGAUGUAAAUGCAUGAUUAGUUUGCUUUUGAAAAUGAAUUUUUUUCUGCAAUCACUUGCCUGCUCUAGAAGAAGUCACUAUAUUGGACUAACUUUUUUAGAGACUUUGCUCAAUAUUAGAAAUGCAGACAAUAUUUGUGGUUGAUCUUAUUUUUCUGAAAGGGAUAGGAAAUCUUCACUUCAUAUGCAAUUAGCUUAUUUGUAUAUAUUGCCUUAUUGUAUCCUUUUAUUUCCUUAUAGGGAAAGUGAUACGGACAGAGAUGGGAAGGUCAGUUUUAAAUAAUUCUUUUAUGGCCUCUUCGAUUCUGUAAGGUACUAUGAUGAGGAAAGUUACAGUGAUCUACAUCAAUGUGAUGAUUCAAUGGAUGCUUCAGCCAGAGCUUUGUUUUCUCAGCUUGACAAAGAUCGCGACGGGUAUUCACCAUCUUUUUUUAUUCUUUUUCUUUUCCCACAAUUAUUCUACUUGAUUGGAAUCAAUAUUGUAGUUUCCUUAUAGUAUACUAUAAUUUACUUUUGGGUUUUCAUUUUGAAUCUGUGCAGGUCUUUGUCAGAUAUUGAACUACUGCCUAUAAUUGGGAAAUUGCAUCCAUCUGGGCAUUAUUAUGCAAAGAAACAAGCAGAAUAUUUAAUUUCAUUGGUAUAGAAUUUGAACAUUACAAUUAAAACUCUAAUUGUUGACAAAGGUGUCACAUUGCAAUUCAUAUUUUGCAAUGUAGAUGGCUAAAAUAGCUCAACAGGCACUGCAACAUCUGUUGGAUAACAAUAACAUCAUACAUUAGUUUCCUUAUUAACCUUUCUUUCUAUGAUGUUAUGGCAGGCGGAAGUUGACAAAGAUGGGCGCCUCAAUUUGACUGAGAUGAUUGAGAAUGCAUAUAUAUUCUAUGAUGUUAUUUUCUACGAUGAUGAAGUUGAAUAUGAUGAUUCCCCUGACGAGUUCUUUUAAGUUCUUUUCAGUUUAUGUUAGGUAAGUACAGUUAUUUUGUUGUCUUUUUAAACCUACAUUCAGUGAUGAUUUUUCGUUGUAAUAUUUUGUGAUCAUCAAUUGCAGGAUGCACAGAAAAGUUUGGGGCAAUAUCACAGACAAAGAGUCAGUAUUUGAAGAACAUAAAUAGAGUUAUAAAUUUACAUAGCAAGUUAAAUACAAAAUAUUAAAAUUAUACAGAUGAGCAGAAAAAAAAUUGGCUACGGUUUCUGUUUUUGUUUAAUAGAAGGUAAAUUUUAGGUUGUGUUUGAAAAAUUGUAUAUAAGAUAUCUAGAAUUUUUUAAAUGCAACCUAGACCUCACCUUUUAAUAGAAAGAUAGUUCCGACUGAUAUAUGAGACUCUUAAAUGAUGUACACGGUGGCUUUGCCACAUUGAUAUCUGAUUUGUGAAUUGUAAUAGUUUUACUUUUUAUAUAUCAUCACUGUUAUAGUUGAAAUGAAUUAAUUUUGCGUUAUAUAUAAUCACAGUUGCAGGGGAUGCACGUUACAUAACUUUAAAUGAAUAUAUAACUAAUCCAUUAUUCACCUGAAGUAAUUUUUCAAAAUAGGAAGAAAUCAGAAUAAUGGGACUGAGGGAGAGAGAAAAAGUCAUUAAAAGAAUAUUCUAAUUGUGAUUUUGACAUGUAAAAGAAUAAUCAAACACUGCCAAUUUAUUAUUAUAUAGAUUGCAUUUCCAUGUGUAAAAAGUACAAAGAAGGGUAUCAAUCUUGUAGUUGAGAUGUUCUUCAUUUCUCUAAUAUAGAAUAUUAUUACUGUAACUUUUUGUUUAUAAAGUUGAUAAAUAUUUAAUUUAAAAUAUAUGUUCUAAAACUAUGUAUAAUUAUACAAAAUUAUAAUAAAGUAAAAAAUAGAGUGAACAAAAAAUAGAGAAAAUCUCGACUUGAAUUUUAGUAGAUAGAUAAUUUGAUUUAAUUAGAAAAAUCUGAGAGUGAAAGUAUGUAAGUAAAGAAUAGGGUAAUAUAUAUCUUUGAAGUUUGAAGCCUUUUCUAAUUUUAAGAAUUAAUUUCAGUUUUUAGCUCUCUAUAUUUUUAAAUAUAUUUUCUCUAUUUAUAAUUAUAAUUUUUUUUUGUUUAAUAUAAAUAAAAAUUAAUUAAAAAAUUAAUAUUUUAUCUUUAAUUUUGAAUCAAAUAAUAAAUUUUUAAAACUUAUUUUUACUAAUAUAUUUUGAAAUGAAAUAAUAGACAUUAACAAUUUCUUUAAAAAAAAUAUCCACGAUUCAUUUAUCAGUAAAAAAUAUAAAUCUGUUUCUGUUAUGUAAAUUUUAUUUUUUUUGGAAAAGUUUUACUACAACUAUUUGUUUAAAUAUUAUAAAAUAUAUUGAAGAGUGUUAUAAUAAAUAAUAGAUAAAGUAUAUACUUAGAUUCACCAAUUCAAAUCACUUUAAACCUUGGACUGCUUAAGCUAGUAGGUCUUUGAGUCUAGUAAUGUAGUAGACCACAAAGUUAACUUUUUAUUGAUGAAUGAAUCAUACCACUAAAAAGGGUUAUGUUCAAUGUAUUUGACGACAUUGACCUCCUAAAAUUCCAUGUUUUUCAAAUUAAUUUUUUUAAUUACUCUCUCCUUUAAAAUAUAAAUAAAAAAGUGAAUGUAUUUAGUUUUAUAUUUUGGGUUGAUAUAAGAUAUUUCCUUUUUAUUUAUAUUUUGAAUGAUUUAAGACUAAACACUUUCACAUUUUUAAUUAUAUUUUAAGCCAAAAAUAUUAAUGUUUAAUAACAAUUUAAUUUCUCUAAUAAGACAACACAAAACAUUACUAAAUAGACCACUUCAAUAACUUUAUAUUAUUAUAUUUUAAUAAUAUUUAUUUAUUUUAAUAUUUUUAUGAUUUAUUGUAUGAAAUUCAUAUAAAGUAAAAAAGAAAAUUGUACUUCUAUAGUCACAAAAAGUAAAAUUAUUAUCCACAGUAGAUGUGCAUAUUUAACUUUUGCUAAAUAGGUGAAUCACAUGCAAUUGUGAUUGUCUUUGGUUCGGUUGUGAAGACCGGUAGUACAAUUGUUUGACUAUUAUCAACCGACCAUGUCAAUUGUUUGACAAUAUCAAAAGGACAUGGAAAGUGUGACAGCUCUUUAGCACUAUUAGUUCUUUAUUCAAUUAUAAGAAGAAGAAAAAAAAUAAUUAUACAUUUUUAAAAAAUAUUGAUUCAUUGUAUUUAAUUUUGUUAUGUUAUAAAAAAUUAAAUUUUUUAUACUAUCAAUACUUUUCAUUUAAUUUUGUAUGAGAAAUUGUUAUAUUAAAAAAUAUUUUAAUAAUAGUUGUUGGUAAAUGACAACAUUUUGAAAAGCCUAAGAUGUCUAGUUUAUAAAUAUAAUGCUUAUUAUGCGUAAUAGACAUUCAAUUAGUACAAUUUAAUAAAAUAAAGUAUACAUAUACAAAAAUAUAACAAUAGAUUAUUUUCCAACUUGGAACUCAAUUUUCUCUACCAAUUCUCAAUGAAAAUUGGUGAAACCAGUACCUAUUUCAUAGGUAAUUAAGUAUAUUUUCUAAUAGGAUAGAAAUCAACUCAAAAUACUAUAUAUGGAGAAAGUUAUAAACAAAAUACCAAAUAUAUACUUAUAUGGGUUCGAAGACAACACCAUACUAUUUUCACUUCAAAAUUUAUAUUUUCAAGUUAAUAUGAUGAACUAAGUAAAAUAUAUUCAAAAUUCAGCAUAAAAUCAAGUAAUUACCAAUACUAAACAGUCACCAUCUCAUCACAAACUCAACCACAACACUCAAUAGCAAUAAUAAAACAACAACUCUUCAUAGUAAUUAAUACAAACACCUAACAUGCAUUAUUAAUAAUCAAUGAUACAAAAUUAAAUAUGACUAUCUCAAUACCCAAACAUGCAAAACAUGAUCUCUAAGCACACCUAAGAGAGGUUUUAAGAGAGUUUUCUAUGUUACCUUAGGAAGAGAUUUGAGACCUCCAAAGUUUGAUUCUAAUUCCUUCUUCUACAAGUAAAACUUUAACUCCUCUUCACGUUUCCAUCUUCCUUCUCAACAUGCAAGAAAUUCUAAACUUCUUCUCCUAUAUUGAAACCUUAACUUUCCUUUUCUUCUUUUACUCUAAUAUAGGUGUGAGGGUGUUUCUAUGAGGAGAUGAUGAAAUGAGGGAGCUUGAGAAGGACAUGCAAUGGAGUUAGUGUGCUCUCUCUUGUUUUUUUUUCUCCUCUCUUCUUCUUUCCUCUUUUCCGUUAUUUCAUCUUUUCUCUCUCUUUUUUUUCUCUUCAUUUUCCAUGAUAUGUUACGGUUUUAGUUCUCUCAUUCAUCCCUCUUUCUUUCUUUCAUUAUUUAUUUAUUAUUAUUAUUAUUUAACAAUUGGGUUUUAAAUAAAGGGGAGUGUGAUGGGAAUUGUCAAUUACUCCCCUCCAAAUCCUUACAAAUGACAAGUUUUAUUUUAACUACAAAAUGGGCUACUAGAAGUUGAAUUUGAAAUUUCUAUUGAGUUUAUUUCUAAUUUAUUCUCCAACAAUAAUAAACACAUUAAUAUGAACUUCCUAAACUAAACUUCACUUGAUUAACUAAAAAUCAUUUUUUGAUUAAAUAAGAUCUAAGAGAUUUGUAUAAACAUAUGAAUUACGACAAUAAAAUAUAAAUAAUAGAAUUAUUAGUAUAAAUAAGAAUAAAUGGAAUAUACAAUUUUUGGGGUGUUACAUAAAUAGACCAACUACGAUUUAUGAAUCUUAAUUUCGAAUACCUAACAAUUUAUUUUUGGGGUGUAACAUCCUAUUUUAUUUUUUUUUAUUUUUUUUUUUAUUUUUUAUUUCAAACCAAAUAUAUAAUUUUCCAUCUGAUUCCAAACAAACAAAUAAAUAAUCCAUUGUUAAAUUAAAAUCCAUCAGUAUUUCAAUUAGAUACUUAAUACUCAAAUUGUAAGGUUCAGAAAUGUAGUAAUAAAAUGAGAAUUGGCAUAGACUAGAGUUCAACAUAAAUAAAUUUCCUAAAGCUGACCACUACUACUCCUAGAAUUAAAUGAGAUGUUCCAUCUAUUCUUCUGAAAACUUUCUCGAUUGUGCAAGUAGAUUAGGAAUGUCAUCUGUCCAAAAGUAAGGGUUAUCUCCAAAAUUAUUACCAAUAAAUAAUAAAUAAAUAACAAUAAAUAAAACAGUACAAUACCCACAUAAUUAAUGGCAUUAUUCCAUUCAAAUUUCCAUACAUACGGUAACAAUUAAAGAUAACAGAACAAUGUUUACGUAAUUAAUAAUAUUAGUUCAUCCAAAACAACAACCAGGAAGUACACUUAAAAUACAAAUAUAUUAUUAUGAUAUCUGUAUAAUUAAUAAUAAUCGUUACUCCAUACAAACAACCGAGUUCAGAUCUCCUCCAUUUUUAGCCUCCAUUUCUUGUCAAGUUUGUUCUUUAGAUGAGUGACACGUGGCAACUAAAAUUUCAAUGGUUGAGAUUUUAUCAAAUACAAAAAAUCUCUUUUAAUUAAUUAAAAUAAAACCAUAAAAACACAUCAGAAACAUCAAACCCCUUUUUCUUCCUCCCUUUGUUGCCCCUCCUAUCGCACUUCCUCCCUUCGUCUCCCCUCCCAUCGCACGUUCACCUUUCGUCCUCGUGUGGCUUGUCUCUCUGUCUCUUCGCCGUGCCGGCGUCGCUCCAUUGUCGUAUCGCUGCAACAUUCUGCACUGCUACAUCACCGUCGCACCGUUGCAGCACCGCCGCUCCACUGAAAUAUUACUACAGGUCUUUGUUUAAAUAAUUUCUUCUCUUUUGAUCUUACAAAUUCUUAUUAAUUUUGCCAAAUCUUUUACAACUAUUUUAUCAUGUCUUUUUUAUUUUGCCAAAACUUUUACAAGUUCUUGCUAAUGUUUUCAAAGACAAUAUGUUGUUGCCAUGAAAAUAGAAAGGAACUUUGAUUCAAUCAAAUUGAUUUUGUACUGGAAUUGAGAAAUUUGGUUCUGUACUGAAAUUUCGUCGCCUCUCUAUCUCUUCGUCGUGCCGGCGUCGCUCCACCGCAACACCACCACACAGUUGCAGCACCACCGCAGCACUGCCACACAGUUGCAACACCACCGCUCCACUGCAAUAUUACUACAGGUGUUUGUUCAAAUAAUCUCUUCUCUUUUGAUCUUACAAGUCAUUGUUGUUGAUUUUGUCGAAACUUUUACGAUCUUUUUAUCGUGUCUUUUGUAUUUCUAUAGUUCUUCCCUUGUGGUUCUCAUUACAUCAACAUAUUUACAAAAUAAUAUUAAUAGGAUAACUCCAUUCAUUCUCAGAGAACAUGAAUCCAUCAUCAAAUCCACUAGUUGACUGUGUAGAUAAAUGAGUGAACAAUAUCCAUGACAAAAUUGUGCCAGAAAGUAAUGACAAUAGCCAACCACACAUGGAAAUGAAGUUUGAAUCUGAGGCGACGACUUAUGAAUUUUAUAAUGAAUACAGUAAAAGAAUUGGAUUUGGUAUUCGUCGAGAAUAUGCAAAUAAAAGCAAAAAAGACGGGAUUUUGACUUCGAGAAGAUUCACAUGCUUCCAAGAGGGUAUUCGAGGUGUUGACAAACGAGGUCACCCAGUAGGGGAGCAUAGAGCAGAAACUAGAAUAGGAUGUAAAGCAUGUAUGGUUAUUUCACUUGAUCAGAAGAUUGGGAAAUAUAAAGUUGUUGACUUUGUAGCUCAACAUAACCACCCUCUUCAACCGCCAGAGUAUGUUCAUAUGAUUCGUUCUCAUCGACACAUAUCUGAGGUACAAGCAUCACAAAUCAUAUUGGCAGAUGAGUCUGGAUUGAGACCAAAAGAUUUUCAUGAAUAUAUGUCAAAGCAAGUCGGUGGAAUAGAGACUGUUGGUUUUACAAGACAAGACCUUAAGAAUUAUCUUCGAACCAAAAGGAAGCAAUCACUAAAGUAUGGUGACGUGGGUGCAUUAUUAAUGUAUUUCAAACAAGAAAGUGAAAAUCCCUCAUUCUUUUAUGAAUUUCAAAUGGAUGUUGAUGAACAAAUAACAAAUAUAUUUUGGGCAGAUGCACAAAUGAUAAAUGAUUAUGUGCUAUAUGAUGAAACGAUUCCUUCUUUUCAGUGGCUAUUUGAAACGUUUCUCAAAGCAAUGGGUGGAGAAAAGCCAAAAACCAUUCUAACAGAUCAAGAUGCUGCAAUGGCUAAGGCUAUUUCUUUAGUUGUGCCAGAAACAUUUCAUGGAUUGUGCACUUGGCAUAUAAGACAAAAUGCUCUAAAGCAUGUAAAUCAUCUAUAUCAAAAGAGUUCACAAUUUUGCUUAGAGUUUGAAGCAUGCAUAGAUCUACACGAAGAAGAGGCUGAAUUUUUGAAUGCAUGGAAUUCUUUACUUGUUGAGCAUAAUGUUUCAAAAGAUUCGUGGCUACAUAUGAUUUUUCAAUUGAAGGCAAAAUGGUCAUGGGCUUAUGUUCGGAAAACAUUCAUUGCAGGUAUGAGAUCUACUCAAUUAAGUGAGAGCUUUAAUGCUGACUUGAAAAACCAUUUGAAAUCAGAUUUAAAUUUAGUACAAUUUUUUACACACUUUAAAAGGGUUGUAAAUGGAAAACGAAACAAUGAGUCAGAAGCUGAUUUUGAGUCAAGACAUAAACUACCUAGAUUGAAAAUGAAGAAGGCUCGUAUGCUUGUACAAGCCGGAAAUGUUUACACUCCAAAAAUAUUUGAGGAAUUUCAAGAGGAAUAUGAGGAAUAUCAAGACACUUGCAUAAAGAAUUUGAAAGAAGGUUUGUAUGUUGUUACAAAUUAUGAUAACACAAAAGAGAGGAUGGUAAUGGGAAAUCCUAUGGAUCAAAAAGUUGCUUGUGAUUGUCGUAAAUUUGAGACACAUGGCAUCUUAUGCAAUCAUGCUUUGAAAGUUUUAGAUGCCAUGAAUAUUAAGUUAAUUCCCCAACAUUAUAUAUUAAAGCGAUGGACAAGAGAUGCAAGGUUGGGAAGUAACCAAGAUUGGAAAGUGAAACAUGUUGAAUUGGACAUAAAAGCCCAUUUCAUGAAGCGAUACAAUGAAUUAUGUCCUCGAAUGAUUAAAUUGACCAACAGAGCUUCAGAAUCUCAUGAAAGUUACGUAUUUUUGUCCAAAGUUUAUGAAGAGUCCAAUAAAAUAAUUGAUGAUAUGUUGGCAAAAAUUUAUGUGAAUGAGGAAUCAAGUAGAAUGAUUCAUGUAUCCAUAUCAAUUGCAAAUGAUGAAAUUGACAACAACUUGGAGACUCUUGGUUGUGCAAAAGGCAUAAAGAAGCGAGAUUGUUCACAUCAGAAUAAAAAACGACCUAAGUCUUGGGUUGAGAAAUUAGCUAGGAAGAGAAAUAGAUACUCACAAAAAAAAAAGAAUCGCAAGAAAAUUUAGUGCAAUUGUUACCGGUAAGUUUUUCAUCAAUGUAUUCAAUUUUUUUAACAAUAUUCUUUAUCUGACUUCUCUUAUAAUGUGCAGCAACCAUUAGAUAGGAACCAAUUUUUAAGUGAAGUUGACACUAGAAUUCAACAUCAAGCUACAACUCAAAUGACACAAUCAACCCAAGUUGAUAAUGGAAUUCAACAUCAAGCUACAACUCAAAUGACACAAUCAAGACAAUCAAGCCAAGUUGAUAAUGGAAUUCAAUAUCAAGCUACAACUCAAAUGACACAAUCAAGACAAUCAAGCCAAGUUGAUAAUGGAAUUCAACAUUAAGCUACAACUCAAAUGACACAAUCAAGACAAUCAAGCCAAGUUGACAAUGGAAUUCAACAUCAAACUACAACUCAAAUAACUCAAUUAAGUCAAGUUGACGCAUUAAGACUUCACAAUUUCUUUUAAACAAUUUUUAUGAGACUUUUGUUAGGCGGCAUGUUCUAUACAUUAAUAUUUUGUUAUGAGGCAAUUUUAUGUUCAAUCACUUGGUGUUAGUUUGAACAAUCUUGUGUUAUGCAGUACAAAACUCUGAAAUAUCAUAGUUAAAGGAAUAUUAAUUUCAAAUUUCAAUUACAAUUGUUAACAUAAAUUAUGCAAUUACAAACUAGUUAGUUGCUAGCUAGUUGCUGCUUGCUAUUACAAACUUUUGAGCUAGUUGUUGCUUGCUAUUACAAACUAGUUGUUGUUUGCUAUUACAAAUUUUGAGUGAAUAGGAGCUUCAAACCAGCCUUUGAUGGCAAACCAAAGUAUUUCUCUUUUAAAACCACAUCAUUUUGGCAAUUCAUUCCUCGAGGAGAGUUGCUGCACUGUCUCACAUCUCAACCCCUGCAGCACAAUUAAAUAAAUAAAUAUCCUUUCCAUGGAUUUUCCAAGUUAAGGAUGUGAUUUUCCUCCACCAUUGAGCUUUGGAUAUGAAUCCACCAAUUUGAAUUCACCAGGCAUUCUUCAAGCCAUUCCAGAGACAAGGCAGCAUAUGAAAUCCUUUUAAAAAUCCCAACUUGUUGUUUCAUGCUUCCUAAUUCUCUUAUUGGUGAGAAAACAGUGUCAUUAAGAACCAAUUUCAAAAGCAUCAUCAUUUCAAACAAAGCACAUAAAGGAAUAUUAAUUUCAAAUUUCAAUUACAAUUGUUAACAUAAAAUGUGCCAUACAAUUGUCUAUAUUAAAUUGUGCAAUACAAAAUCAAGUUUCUAAACUAGUUCAAUCCUCUAGUGAAGCCUAUUUUCUCAAAUUUGGAGACAAAAUAAGCAAGAUCAGCUUAUGUGAGCCAAGAGGGCAAGGUGUCAAGGAUGUUUGGAUUAAUUCCAAUUCCAUACUCUCCCUUUGGAAAUUAUAGAGGACCAAUUUUUCAAGUUAUGAUAUUUUUCAUCACAUAUGCAGUGCCAACCUCAACUGUUUCAGUUUUCCAAAUUGUUAUGAUAUUGUUCCUGUCACACAGAUAAAAAACAAUUAAGAUAUUAAGAACUACCAUUAUAGUAAUUUCUCACUUCAUUUCACCAACUUAACCAUAUCUUUUAAACCAAAAUGAUUUCUUGUGAAUGAAACUGUGACAGUUCACAAAUUUUCAAUUUGAUCUGUUAAUUACUGAUCACAAUUUAAUUAGAUUUUUUUGGUGUGAUUAGGUCUUUAAUUUUUUCCAAACAGAUUGAAUCAAAAUGCUACAAAUUGGUUGAAACAAAGAACCUGUAAAAAUAAAAAUGAUAGUGUGGCAGGUCAUGGCAGCGAAGGCGUGGCAGCGAAGGUGAGACAACGAGAACAAAGACCUGUAGCGGUGCUGUAACGGUGCAGCGGUGAGCGGUGCGGUGUGUUGCAGCAGUACGGCAGUAUUGCAGUGGAGCAGCAGCGGUGUGGUGGUGCUAUGCAGUGGAGCAGCGGUGUGGUGGUACUAUGCAGUGGUGCGGUGGUGCUGUACCUGCGAUAGGAGGGGCAGCGAAGGGAGGAAGAAAAAGGAGUUUUAUGUUUCUGAUGUGUUUUUAUGGUUUUAUUUUAAUUAAUUAAAACAGAUUUUUUGUAUUUGAUAAAAUCUCAACCAUUGAAAUUUUAGUUGCAACGUGUCACUCAUCUAAAGAACAAACUUGACAAGAAAUGGAGGCUAAAAAAUGGAGGAGUUCUGAACUCACAAACAACCUUACAAUAGAAUACCAUAAUAUCUACAUCAUUAAUAACAUUAAUUCACUCAAACAAUUAAGAAUCAAGAGGUACAGUAAUAAAAACAAGUACAAUAUCACAUAUUAAUUCACCCCAAACUAAUAACAAGUACAUUUAUGAGCAUAAUAUCCACAUCAUUUAUUAUUAACAUUGCCUCAUCCAAACGAACAAAUACAAUCGUAUACAGAUUUAUCAGUACAAUAUAUACCCCGUUAAUAACAUUAUUUCAACCAAUUAUCAGGAGAUACAAUGUAUCAUUUAUCUGUAUAAAACAUUAAUCACACUUAAUUCAAUGCAUACUCAAACAGACCUUAUGCCUUAAUCUAUAUGCCAAUGUAAUGAUUUCGGAAUAUCGCCUCCCCCACAAGGGCUUUCGUGGGUCCUUCCAAGCAACACCACUAACUCUAAAUCCCCGCAAUGAUAUGUGGGCUCCAACCAAUUAUGGACGCACCACCACCAAUUAUGAAUGAAUGCAUGAAUAUGAAUGCGUGAAUGUGGACACUUUAAUAUAUCAUCAAUAUAAUGUGAUGCUAACUUAUUAAUGACAUUUCACGUAUAACAUUUAUCAUUCACACCUUGAAAAUGUUCAAUACAACCAUUAUAACAACGUAUCACAUUAUUUGUAUUCCUUACACUUUGAAUAUGUUCAACACAACCAUGAAUAUAACAUGUCACACCAUAUUUAUUUUCCAAAUUUUGAUAAAAGCAAUUCAACAUAGUAUAUAUUCAAUCUCACAAUUCUAAAAUAAUUACAAUCACACAUUCCAAAAUAAAUGCAAUCAUACAUUCCAAAAUAAAUACAAUCAUACUAUAAAUAUAUAAUUGGAGUGAUACCCUUACCGAUAUGAGUGUCGUGAUUAAAUUCUCACGCAGCGGUCUUUUUGCUCCAAUUGCACUACACUUGAUGAGAUGAAUUACCAACUCCUUCUUGAAUUCCUUCCUUUUCUAUCUUAAACUCUUUUUGCUACAUCGCACAACGUUUUUUUGAAUGGAAGACGUCCCUUUUGUUUUUUUUUUAUCGUUAAGCUGUGGGAACGUUAAGGUAUGAGUGGGGAACGUUAAGCCAAAAGUGGGGAACGUGGCAUUUCCACCCAAGCCAUGAAACAAUUUUACGGUUGCUUCUAUUAUUAUUAUUAUUAUUAUUAUUAUUAUUAUUAUUAUUAUUAUUAUUAUUAUUAUUAUUAUUAUUAUUAUUAUUAUUAUUAUUAUUAUUAUCAUCAAAAUUAAAAUAAUAUCGUCAGCAAUUCUUUCUAUUCCCAAAAAUAAAUAUAAAAAUAAGAUAAAAUGAUUGGGCGUUACAUUCCUCGUACCUUAAAUAGUUUCGUCCUCGAAACCGGCUUCGGAGAAAAGUUUUGGGUAUUGCUCCUUCAUUUUGUCUUCUAGUUCCCAAGUGGUGUCUCCAGUGGCUUGAUUCCAAACUACUUUCACCAAAGGAAUUUCUUUGUUGCGAAGCAACUUGACUUUUCUAUCUUCAAUUAUUGCCGGAGAUACUUCAAAAGAUAAAUCCUCCUUCAGCUGCACUACAUCCGACUCAAUGACAUGUGAUGGAUUAGGGACAUACUUCCGUAACUGAGAAACAUGGAACACAUCAUGAAUGUGGGAAAGAAUAGGUGGUAACGCAACUUUAUAUGCUACAAGUCCGAUUCUUUUGAGGAUUUGGUAAGGUCCAAUGAACUUUGGUAUGAGUUUCUUUGACUUGAUAGCCCUACCAACUCCUGUAGUAGGUGUCACACGAAGGAACACAUGUUCGCCUUCUUCAAAUUCUAAGGGCCUACGACGUGUGUCAGCAUAACUUUUUUGGCGACUUUGGGAAGUCCUCAUUCUUUCUCUAAUUUUCCUGAUCUUUUCUGUGGUCUGAUGCACCAUUUCAGGCCCCACUAUAGUAUUCUCACCAUCAUGAUACCAACAAAGUGGUGUCUGACAUUUCCGUCCAUAAAGAGCUUCGUAUGGUGCCAUCCCAAUGCUUGCAUGAAAACUAUUAUUGUAAGUGAAUUCUACUAANNNNNNNNNNNNNNNNNNNNNNNNNNNNNNNNNNNNNNNNNNNNNNNNNNNNNNNNNNNNNNNNNNNNNNNNNNNNNNNNNNNNNNNNNNNNNNNNNNNNNNNNNNNNNNNNNNNNNNNNNNNNNNNNNNNNNNNNNNNNNNNNNNNNNNNNNNNNNNNNNNNNNNNNNNNNNNNNNNNNNNNNNNNNNNNNNNNNNNNNNNNNNNNNNNNNNNNNNNNNNNNNNNNNNNNNNNNNNNNNNNNNNNNNNNNNNNNNNNNNNNNNNNNNNNNNNNNNNNNNNNNNNNNNNNNNNNNNNNNNNNNNNNNNNNNNNNNNNNNNNNNNNNNNNNNNNNNNNNNNNNNNNNNNNNNNNNNNNNNNNNNNNNNNNNNNNNNNNNNNNNNNNNNNNNNNNNNNNNNNNNNNNNNNNNNNNNNNNNNNNNNNNNNNNNNNACUUUAGCCUUCUGGCAUGUCAGGCAAGCCGUCACAAACUCGACCACCCGUUUCUUCAUUCCAGGCCACCAAUAGUUUUGCUUCAAAUCUUGGUACAUCUUGGUCACCCCUGGAUGAAAACUCAGUUUACUCUUGUGUGCCUCCUCAAGAAUAAUCUAUUUUAUCCUGUCCACUGUCGGGAUGCAAAUGCGCCCGUUGCAGCGCAUAAUAUUGUCUGGCCCCACUUUGAAUUUUGGUGCCUUCCCUUGCACAAUCAAGUGUCUCUUCUGCUGAAGUAGUUCGUCGUCGAAUUGGUGUUUCUAAAUGUCCUCAAUUAGCCCAUUAGAGAUGGUUAUCAUGCUAAAUUUUAAUUCUCCUGGUGCGAACUCCACAUUCAAGUUAAGAUCACGAAACUUCUCUAGUAAUUCUUGUUCUUUUACCAUUAAGGAUGAUACAAGUAUAUUUUGUCUACUUAAGGCAUCUGCAACUACGUUGGCCUUUCCCGGGUGGUAUUGCAAUUUAAAGUCGUAAUCCUUCAAGGUUUCCAUCCACCUUCUUUGCCUCAUAUUGAGCUCUUUUUGAUCGAACAGGUAUUGCAAGCUUUUAUGGUCACUAAAAAUUGUAAAUGUACUUCCAUACAAGUGGUGUCUCCAAAUUUUUAGGGAAAACAUUAUCGCAGCCAGUUCCAAAUCAUGUGUGGGAUAGUUCCUUUCAUGUAUUUUUAGUUGUCGUGACGCAUAGGCUACUGCUUUCUUAUUCUGCAUGAGGACACUUCCCAAUCCUUGAUGAGAGGCAUCACAAUAAACUUCGUAGGGUUCGUCUAGUUGUGGCAAAGUUAGUACCGGGGAGGUCGUCAAACGUUCAUUUAAUAAUUUAAAACUCGCCUCACACUCUUCUGUCCACGCAAAUGGUUGAUCCUUUCUUGUAAGUUGGGUCAGUGGGGAUACAAUCCUAGCAAAACCUUCAAUAAAUCUUCGGUAAUAGCCAGCUAAUCCAACAAAGCUUUUAAUGUAUGUAACAGUCUUUGGCUGCUUCCAAUCUACAAUGGCCUUUACCUUGCCUGGGUCGACAUCAAUUCCUUCAUUUGAGAUCACAUGCCCUAGAAAAAUAACUUAGAAAAUUAACUUCCUCCAACCAAAAUUCACACUUCGCUUGGUUGGCAUACAAUUGUUUCUCUCGCAACACUGAUAGAACUUGUCGUAAUUGUUCCUCAUGCUCCUCUCGACUUUUAGAAUAAAUGAGAAUGUCAUCUAUAAAUACCACUACGAAUUUAUCCAAAAAUGGAUGGAAGAUACGAUUCAUGUAGUCCAUAAAUAUUGCGGGUGCAUUAGUCACUCCGAAUGGCAUUACAAGAUACUCGUAAUGUCCGUAACGAGUCCGAAAUGCAGUCUUGGGAAUGUCUUCUGCCUUAACUCGUAUUUGGUGAUACCCAGAUUUCAAAUCUAUCUUGGAGAACACUACAUCCCCUCGGAGUUGAUCUAUAAGGUCAUCGAUGCGCGGCAAUGGAUAUCAGUUCUUGAUAGUGGCCUUGUUGAGUUGCCUGUAAUCUAGACAAAGUCGUGAAUGUCCGUCCUUUUUCUUUACUAACAAGACAGGAGCUCCCCACGGUGAAACACUAGGUCGAAUAAAUUGUUUUGACAUUAAUUCUUCCAAUUGUUCUUUAAGUUCAGUUAGUUCGGAAGGCGACAUCCGAUAUGGUGCAAUUGAGAUGGGUCCAGUACCUGGGUGUAAGUCAAUAGAAAACUCAGUCUCUCGCACUGGCGNNNNNNNNNNNNNNNNNNNNNNNNNNNNNNNNNNNNNNNNNNNNNNNNNNNNNNNNNNNNNNNNNNNNNNNNNNNNNNNNNNNNNNNNNNNNNNNNNNNNNNNNNNNNNNNNNNNNNNNNNNNNNNNNNNNNNNNNNNNNNNNNNNNNNNNNNNNNNNNNNNNNNNNNNNNNNNNNNNNNNNNNNNNNNNNNNNNNNNNNNNNNNNNNNNNNNNNNNNNNNNNNNNNNNNNNNNNNNNNNNNNNNNNNNNNNNNNNNNNNNNNNNNNNNNNNNNNNNNNNNNNNNNNNNNNNNNNNNNNNNNNNNNNNNNNNNNNNNNNNNNNNNNNNNNNNNNNNNNNNNNNNNNNNNNNNNNNNNNNNNNNNNNNNNNNNNNNNNNNNNNNNNNNNNNNNNNNNNNNNNNNNNNNNNNNNNNNNNNNNNNNNNNNNNNNNNNNNNNNNNNNNNNNNNNNNNNNNNNNNNNNNNNNNNNNNNNNNNNNNNNNNNNNNNNNNNNNNNNNNNNNNNNNNNNNNNNNNNNNNNNNNNNNNNNNNNNNNNNNNNNNNNNNNNNNNNNNNNNNNNNNNNNNNNNNNNNNNNNNNNNNNNNNNNNNNNNNNNNNNNNNNNNNNNNNNNNNNNNNNNNNNNNNNNNNNNNNNNNNNNNNNNNNNNNNNNNNNNNNNNNNNNNNNNNNNNNNNNNNNNNNNNNNNNNNNNNNNNNNNNNNNNNNNNNNNNNNNNNNNNNNNNNNNNNNNNNNNNNNNNNNNNNNNNNNNNNNNNNNNUUCACACAGUCCAUAGAGAUAAAUGAAUGUGUUGCACCAGAGUCAAAAAGGACGGUUAGAAUAUUACAUGAGAUUUCACACUCCCAUUGGAAGGAUUCAUUCGGGCGAGACGUCCCUUGACCAUUUAUAUUGUAAACUCGUCCUUGAGCUGUUGGGCGUGUGACUUCAGUCGCAUGCAGUGAGGCUUAUGCCUUUGAUUCCUUGCAAUCCCUGGCUAGAUGCUCGGGCUUCUGGCAUUUAAAACAUACAUUGUCGUUGAGAGUGCACUUAUUCGCAAGGUGUCUUGGGUCUCCACAACGAUAACAGUAUGGCUUUGAUUCUGAAGUCCUCUGUCUAUCAUCUGAAAUGGAGGUCAUUGGACGAUAUGUUCCCUUAUCUGACCCUUGGGGAUGACGAUAUGGAUUUUGAUCUGGUCUACUACGACCCUGGUUCUGAUUACUCGGUCGUGUUGGUCCCCCGUGGUUACCAGUACCCCCACGAUUUAGCCUGCGGUUCUUCAUAGCCUCUACCUCUCUGCACUUUUCCACUAGGGGUUGGAAUCGCGUGAUUCCCAGAGGUAGUACCGAAUCUUGAAUUUCAUACUUCAAUCCAUCUUGAAAACGGUGACACAUAAAGUCUUCAUCAAUGGUCUGACGAAAAAACUUGAAGUAUCGCGAUAAGGAUUCAANNNNNNNNNNNNNNNNNNNNNNNNNNNNNNNNNNNNNNNNNNNNNNNNNNNNNNNNNNNNNNNNNNNNNNNNNNNNNNNNNNNNNNNNNNNNNNNNNNNNNNNNNNNNNNNNNNNNNNNNNNNNNNNNNNNNNNNNNNNNNNNNNNNNNNNNNNNNNNNNNNNNNNNNNNNNNNNNNNNNNNNNNNNNNNNNNNNNNNNNNNNNNNNNNNNNNNNNNNNNNNNNNNNNNNNNNNNNNNNNNNNNNNNNNNNNNNNNNNNNNNNNNNNNNNNNNNNNNNNNNNNNNNNNNNNNNNNNNNNNNNNNNNNNNNNNNNNNNNNNNNNNNNNNNNNNNNNNNNNNNNNNNNNNNNNNNNNNNNNNNNNNNNNNNNNNNNNNNNNNNNNNNNNNNNNNNNNNNNNNNNNNNNNNNNNNNNNNNNNNNNNNNNNNNNNNNNNNNNNNNNNNNNNNNNNNNNNNNNNNNNNNNNNNNNNNNNNNNNNNNNNNNNNNNNNNNNNNNNNNAUUGGUCAGCUUACACCUAACUCACAGUCCAAUCAAGAUCGAACUGCUCUGAUACCAAAUUGUAACAUCCUAUUUUAUUUUUUAUUUUUUUAUUUUUUAUUUCAAACCAAAUAUAUAAUUUCUCAUGUGAUUCCAAACAAACAAAUAAAUAAUCCAUUGUUAAAUUAAAAUCCAUCAGUAUUUCAAUUAGAUACGUAAUACUCAAAUUGUAAGGUUCAGAAAUGUAGUAAUAAAAUGAGAAUUGGCAUAGACUAGAGUUCAACAUAAAUAAAUUUCCUAAAGCUGACCACUACUACUACUAGAAUUAAAUGAGAUGUUCCAUCUAUUCUUCUGAAAACUUUCCCGAUUGUGCAAGUAGAUUAGGAAUGUCAUCUGUCCAAAAGUAAGGAUUAUCUCCAAAAUUCUUACCAAUAAAUAAUAAAUAAAUAACAAUAAAUAAAACAGUACAAUACACACAUAAUUAAUGGCAUUAUUCCAUUCAAAUUGCCAUACAUACGGUAACAAUUAAAGAUAACAGGACAAUGUUUACGUAAUUAAUAAUAUUAGUUCAUCCAAAACAACAACCAGAAAGUACACUUAAAAUACAAAUAUAUUAUUAUGAUAUCUGUAUAAUUAAUAAUAAUCGUUACUCCAUACAAACAACCUUACAAUAGAAUACCACAAUAUCUACAUCAUUAAUAACAUUAAUUCAGUCAGACAAUUAGGAAUCAAGAGAUACAGUAAUAAAACAAGUACAAUAUCACAUAUUAAUUCACCCCAAACUAAUAACAGGUACAUUCAUGAGCAUAAUAUCCACAUCAUUUAUUAUUAACAUUGCAUCAUCCAAACGAACAAAUACAAUCGUAUACAGAUUUAUCAGUACAAUAUAUACCCCGUUAAUAACAUUAUUUCAAUGAAUUAUCAGGAGAUACAAUGUAUCAUUUAUCUGUAUAAAACAUUAAUCACACUUAAUUCAAUGCAUACUCAAACAGACCUUAUGCCUUAAUCUAUAUGCCAAUGUAAUGAUUCCGGAAUAUCGCCUCCCCCGCAAGGGCUUUCGUGGGUCCUUCCAAACAACACCAUUCAUUCGAGCUUCCUGGGUCCUUCCAAGCAACACCACUAACUCUAAAUCCCCGCAAGGAUAUGUGGGCUCCAACCAAUUAUGGACGCACCACCACCAAUUAUGAAUGAAUGCAUGAAUAUGAAUGCAUGAAUGUGGACACUUUAAUAAAUCAUCAAUAUAAUGUGAUGCUAAGUUAUUAAUGGCAUUUCACGUAUAACAUUUAUCAUUCACACCUUGAAAAUGUUCAAUACAACCAUUAUAACAACGUAUCACAUUAUCUGUAUUCCUUACACUUUGAAUAUGUUCAACACAACCAUGAAUAUAACAUGUCACACCAUAUUUAUUUUCCAAAUUUUGAUAAAAGCAAUUCAACAUAGUAUAUAUUCAAUCUCACAAUUCUAAAAUAAUUACAAUCACACAUUCCAAAAUAAAUGCAAUCAUACAUUCCAAAAUAAAUACAAUCAUACGUAUAAAUAUAUAAUUGGAGUGAUGCCCCUUACCGAUAUGAGUGUCGUGAUUAAAUUCUCACGCAACGGUCUUUUUGCUCCAAUUGCACUACACUUGAUGAGAUGAAUUACCAACUCCUUCUUGAAUUCCUUCCUUUUCUAUCUUAAACUCUUUUUGCUAUAUCGCACAACGUUUUUUUGAAUGGAAGACGUCCCUUUUUUUCUUUUUUUUAUCACGAAAAUUAAGCCGUGGGAACGUUAAGGCAGGAGUGGGGAACGUUAAGCCAAAAGUGGAGAACGUGGCAUUUCCAUCCAUGAAACAAUUUUUAACGGUUGCUUUUAUUAUUAUUAUUAUUAUUAUUAUUAUUAUUAUUAUUAUUAUUAUUAUUAUUAUUAUUAUCAAAAUUAAAAUAAUAUCGUCAGCAAUUAUUUCUAUUCCCAAAAAUAAAUAUAAAAAUAAGAUAAAAUGACUGGGCGUUACAUUUAACUUAAUUAGACUAACUAUGAUUUAUGUAUCAUAAUUUCAACUAUUCAGCGAUUCAAUCUAAUCUAAAGAGAGUAACUACUACUUAAGAAUCUUAAAUUUGAUUAUCCAACCCCCAAUUCUAACCUUAAUAGUGUUACAACUGAAUAACUUGCACAAUAAGCAACUCACACAAUAGAUGAGAAGUGGUGAGUUAAUGAAAUGUUUUGAAAAUAUUUUCUGAGACUCGGUUAAAAUUUUUUGUCAGAAAAUAAUUUAAUCGAAAUAUUUUAAGACGUCACACAUUACUAUUAAAUUUAUCUAUCAAUUUGACUCAACGAGGGUAGAAAUUUUUACUAAAGUAGAUCUAGAUGUGAUGUGAUGUGAUGUGAUUAUGACUAAGUAUCAUAAAUGAUAAUUGUGAUAUUUUAUAAUUAAACUUAUGUGGUUAAUUUUUGUGGUUAAACUUUUUAGGGGAUUAAUUUGGAAUUGAAAUAGUAAAUUAAUUAAUGGAAGGAGAAAAAACAUUUCGCCAUCCCUACAAAAGAAAUUCAUGGCCAUCAUCAUAUGACUAUCACUUUCUUUAAUUUUUCAAACACAUAUUCUCUCAUUUCUAUUAAAACUCAAACAUUCUUCUUCAUUUUUUAGCAACUUAGAAGCCUCCAAACACAAAACUGCCAACUACAAAGUUAUUUCACUAUUAGAGAUGAUUGCAAAUAAAUAAAGAUCACUAGUUGAGGUGUUCAUUUCUCUCCUCUUUUCCCUCAAACCUGUAAGCAUACAUAUAUAGGGAAAAAAUUGAUUUUUAUUUUAUAUUUUUUAAGCUUUAAUCUUGUUUAUUUAUCACUACUAUGGUUGUUAUUAAUGUUUAGAAAAUUAAAGGAAACAAUUUUAUAUGUAAGCAUGCAUAUAUAGGGGAAAAAUUGAUUUUUAUUUUAUAUGUUUUAAGCUUUAAUCUUACUUGUUUAUCACUACUAUGAUUGUUAUGAAUGUUUAGAAAAUUAAUGGAAACAUUUUUAACUUUUUUUCUUUUAAAAAUAAAAAAAACCUAUGUAAGAGAGUAAAAUGAAAAGUUUUUUUUUUGUUUGCUUUAGUGCUUUGUUAAUAUUGAAAUUAGAGGAGUUAUUAACUUGAAUAACCUAAAGUGAAACCAAACCCCCAAAAAAUUUACUAAGACCAAACUUGGUGUGUCAUAAUGUUAAAGGUUAAUUUUGGUAUGUGUUUGAAUAAUAUAAUAAGUUCUUUUCAACUAGAUGAGUUUGAACUUACAAUAGAAAUUUUAUUAGAGUGGUUUAAGUCAGUAAAAUUAAGAAGACUUUUGCAAAUGUAUUUGGUUACAAUAUUUAUUUAUUUAUUAAAAUGAUAACUAGAUAUUAAGGUGUGCAGGGAUCAAAGUGAUGUAUCAUUUAAAAAAAAAAACUCAAAGUUGUAAAAUGAGGAUUUUGAAGUAAGAGAGUGACCAAUAGAAAGAAAUUGAUUAGUUUUAUUGAGUAAUGCAACCUUGAAGUAAAAUUUAUAAUUCUCUUUGUUUAUAUGUAGUUAGCUCAUUGAGUCUCGAAAAUGAAUCCAGAUUGUUGACACUGAAUUUAUAGUGGCAAAAACUUUGAAUAUUUUAUGUUUGUUGUGUUAAUUUUUUUAAGAAAACUAGUAAAAUAUCUCUCCAUUCGCACGGGUGGCGCAUGUUUAUAUUCUUUUUAAGAUUGUGGUUCAGUGUCAAUGUAAUAUUUGAACUUUAGGAAAAUAUACUCAUUUAGCAUUAUAAUAGAUAUGCAUAAUUGUUCAUGUGGUUCCUUAAAUUAAUUUCAGAUAACAAUUCAGUCAUUUUUUUUUUUCCCAAUUUGGUUAUUUAUUUAAUUUUAAGUAAACAAUUUAAUCUUUUAUGUUUUAAAAUGUUAACAAUGUUAUAUUUUUUUUUUUACAAAAAUUUGAUCAAAAUUUUAAACAUAACUCAUAAAAUUAAUUAUCAUCUUCAAUAUAAUAUAAAUUUUAUCAAAUUUAUAACUCAAAUCUUCAAAUAAACUCAUAUUUUCAUUUUUUAUAUUUUCGAAUUUUUGUAAUAAAAUUAAAUAAAUGACCAAAUCAGAAGAAAAAAAAUAUAUAAAUGACUGAAAUGUAAGUUAAGAGAUCUCAUGAUCAAUUGUGUCUAAUAAAUAUUAUUGAAAAUCGCAAAUAGUAUUCAUCUUGUGAUUUUUAUAUGUAUUAGUGGAAACUAUUUGUAUCUUGUUUUUUUCAAUAUUUAUUCAUAACAAAUAUUUGUUUCGUAUUCUUUUAAUAUUUAUAAGCGACAAAUAUUUGUUACGUGUUUUUUUAUGUAUCAGUGAACAAAUAUUUGUCCCGUAAUUUUUUAAAUUUAUCAUUAUUAAACAUUAGUCAUGUAUUUUUUAUGCAUCAGUUAUAGUUAUUUAUGGAUUAUGUUUUUUAAUAAUUAUCAAUGACAAAUAUUUAUCCCAUAUGUUUUAUGUUUGAAUGUCAAAUAUUUGUCUAGAUUUUUUUUAAAUUAUUAGUAACAAAUAUAUGUAUCUUGUUUUUUUUUUAAUAUUUAUUAGUUACAAAUAUUUCUCAUGCGUUUUUUGUGUGUCAAUAAUAAAUAUUUAUCUCAUAUUUUUUAUGUAUCAAUGAAAAUAUUUAUCUCAUAUUUUUAUAUAUCGAUAUCAAAUAUAUAUCUCGUAUUUUUAUAUAAACUACUUUUUCAUUCUUUAUUAUUAUUAUUAUUGCUUUUUUCUUUUUCCAUUAAUUGAAACUAUAACAUGUGUCAUGUAUUUUUUAUUCUUGAGUUAUAGAUAUAUAUUCAUUAUUUUUUAAUAGUUAUCAAUGACAAAUAUUUAUCUCGUACUUUUUAUGUUUUAUUGUCAAAUAUUUGUUUAUAUUUUUUUUAAAUUAUUAGUGACAAAUACAUAUACCUUAUUUUUUUUAUUAGUUACUAAUAUUGUUUCUCCUGCAUUUUCUAUGUGUCAAUGACAAAUGUUUGUCUCAUAUUUUUUAUGCAUCAGUGAUAUAUAUAUAUAUAUAUAUAUAUAUAUAUAUCUCGUAUUUUUUAUAUAUUGAUAACAUAUAUACAUAUAAUAUUUUUUUAUAAACUAUUUUUUCUAUUUUUUGUCAUCUAUUUUAAAAUAAUUUUUUAACAAAUUAGUAUUUCAUUUAUGCGAGAAAGAGAAAAUUAUUUAAUAAAAUUAGAGUUUUAUUAUUUUAAUUAAUAAUUACGACUACUAUUUUAAUAUUGAAAAAUAUUAUGUUGUUCCUUUCACAAAAAUUGAGCGUUAUUGUUGGUGAAGUUGUGGAGGUAGGAAGAAGUUGUGACUUGUUGUCGCAGUUUUUUUAUUUUUUUUGCAGGUGUUUUUGUUGUUUUAGUGUUUCAACUUCAUUUUGACAGUUUUUUUUUUUAAUAUAGUGUUUUCACUUUAUUUGUGUUUGAAGUAAAUUUUAUAAUUUUUUAUAUUUAUGUAGUUACUAUCUUUAGUCUAAAAAAUAAAUUGAGAUUGUUGACACUGAAUUUUUUGAAAAGAGAUAAAAACAAAAAGAUUAUGGUAAAUUUUUUUAAUUUGUUUUGAAAUAAAGUGGUAAAUGAAUUGAUGUGGUUUGUUUUAACUCAAAAGUAUUUGAGUUGUAGAAAUUUUAUGAACUUUAAAGAAGUUAGAAAAAAAUACUGUUGUGAUUUUAAAUGGUGGUAUAAAUUAAAAAUUUCACUCGUUUUAAAUUUAAAACCAUAUGAGUUGUUGUUCUUGAUUAUUUAAGGUGUUUUAAACUAGAUUUGGAUUUUGAAACUCUUUUGAAAGACUUUGAUGAAUAAAAUGAGUUUUAGUCGAGUUGUAUAUAUGUAGAAAGAGAAUUCAAAGUUUUGUUUUGAUAUUGAUUUUAAGUUGAUUUUGUUAUUGCGGUGUUAAAAGUUUCAUCUAUGGGGUUUUUGAGAAAAUAAGGUUUCCUUAUUUAUAGUUAAAAUCAAAAGUUGUAGUCUUUAAUACUAAAUUCAAUUUUAAUGAAGAGAUUUAACUUUGAAAAACAAAGUUUCAAACUUUAUGACUUUGAGUAUAGUUCAAAGAAAUGUAGCAAAAAAAUAUCGUAUAAAUCAAUAAAUAUUAUUCUUUCUCUUUGACAAUAAAUGUCAUAUUUAUUAAUUAAUUUAUUCAUAUUAAAAAAUAAUUAUAAAAAAAAUAAUUAUAAAAAAAAUAAUUAUAAAAAAAAUAAUUAUAAAAAAAAUGAUUUUAUCAAUUUAUUCAUUCACGUGUUUUUCAUUAUCAUAAGUAUAAAAUUAAAUAUAAUACUUGAAAAUAAUAUACAUAAUGUUAAUUAAAUUUACAAUUAAAAAAUAAAUUACAUUGAAAAUUAAAAAUAACAUACAUUUUGAAAUAACAUGAUUUUAUUAAAAUAACCAUCAUUUUGAAAUCGGAUUAGAUGGAUGGAUUAUAUAUUUUUGUUUAACAAUUUACUUCUUCUAUCUCACAAUGAAUGUAAUUCUAUUAAAAACAAUUGGUUUAAAAUAAAUAUUAUUUUUAAUUUUUAAUACAAUUUUAAUUAUUAUUUUUCUAUAUUACUGUUUAAUAAUUACUAUGUACAUAAUUUACAAAAUAUUAUUAAAUUUUAUAUUGAUAAUAAUAAAAUUUAACCAAUAAUUAAAAUAAGUAAUUUGAUAAAAUAAACUUUUGCCUUUAUAUUUUUUAUUAUUAUAUUUUUUAAUACAUAUACGAAAACUUUAAAGGAGAUUUAUUGUAAAUGGUAAGACUGAGGAAGUAUUUGAUAUAUCAGUAGAUGUGAGAGCAGGUGAAUUGUUUGGUAAAUGCUACCAAGAGGCAUGAAGACUGUGGGUGUCCCCUUUUUCCUUUUUUUUUUUUUUGGUUAUGUGGGUGGCCCUUUUUGUUGUUGGUCUUAUGUGGGUGCCCCCUUUUUUUGUUGGUCUUAUGUGGGUGGCCUCCUUUUCUUUUUUGGAUUAUACAGUGAAGAUGGCAUAACAAUCAACCAGGUAAUCAUUGUUACUAUAAAGAAAAAUAUUUAGGAACAUUUAUUUAACUGUUUUCCGUAUGUUUGUUAAUCUAAAAUAUUAUUUUUGUGAUUGUAAUAAUUUUUUAAAAAAUUAUUUUAAAAAUUUUGUAAUCAAUUAAAUUAAAAACUAUAAGAAAACACUUAAAAAUAUAUUUAAAAAUUAGAUGAAUGAAUCAACGAUGGUCUUGAUUACUUCCAUACGAGCUUGGCCUAUUAAUUGUAUUUAAAAUGCAUUUUUAAUUAGUCAAAGUCAUUAAUUAUAAAAAUUAGAUUUCAACUAUAUUGUAAAUAUUCUUUUAAACACACUUUAAUAAAUCAAACACUUAUCUUACCCAUAAUUUAAAUACACUUAUUUUCACUUAUAUAUUUUUCAAGGAUUUUUGUACUAAAAAACAUGUACAACAUUUUUAAAGAACUAACAACACAUGGCAAUAUAGUUUAUUUCUUGGUGUAAUUACUUGAAUAAAAAUAGAUCAUUACGUCAGAUUUAUUAGUCAAACCCUCAGUUUUUUAACUCGACAGUAGUUUGUAAGGUUAAUUUUUAGAAUAUUACAUGUAUUGAUUUUCUAUAGUUUGCAAUAUUUUGUUUAAGUAAGUUAAUUAUGUAAUUAUACAUCUGUGAAAAUUUAAUUUAGUGGAACUAAUUCAAAUUGCAUUUAAUGUGAAAAUAAUUAAAAUUAGAUCAAUAAAAUUAAAUGUUAACUAAGAGAUAUUAAAUAAAAUAAAUGAUAAGAGUUAUUCUUAGAAUAAGUUAUCUCCACCUUUUAUAUAUAUAUAUAUAUAUAUAUUUUAUGUCAUUUUAAACAUAAUUAAUAUUUUUUUAACUCAAAAUGUAAUUAAUAUUUGUUAUUUUACAAUGUAAACUUUUAAUAUAUUAGUAGUAUGCGUUAUAAUAUGUUAUUUAAAGUAAUAUAAAUAUAUAAUUAUGUAUUUGUAUAAUAUGGAUGAAGAAAUUCAACUCAAAUAACGAUUAAUUAGAUUAAAUUAUAUUUUUUUAGAAGAAAUCACUCAAAAUUAAACUAAAUUCACUUGUUCUAAUUUUUAAUCUUUGGUCAAGUGAUUUUUUAUUUAUCAAAACUCAUUUAAAUUAAAAUGCACACUCUAACGUUAAGGUGUGAUUAUAUUUUGAUCAAUUAAUUAUAUUUUUUGUAUGAUUUUUAAUAUAAAAUAUAUCUUUUAUGAUUAUAAUAAAUUUUGAGAAAAUUAUGAAUUUGAUAAAGUUAUAGUUAAUUAAGUUAUAAAUUAUUUAAAAAUACUUAAACAAAUAGACAUAAAUUUUGUCUUAAUAAAAAUUAACAAAUAACAAAUACCGACUAUUUUUAAUAAAUUAAAUAAAAAAUUGAUCACAAUAUGUUAAUAAAUAUUAUUAAAAAAAAUAAAAUAAAUAAAUAAGUAGAUAAUCAAGAAAUAAUAAACAAAUACUAAUAAUGUGAUAAAUAAAUUUUGAUAUUGGGAGCUGCAAGGUAGUUUUAGAAUACUCGUCGGUGACGUGACAGAGUCAUGCUUUCUCGAAGAACACAUAUGUGGGAGUGGUUAGACGUGGAGCUUUUCUAUUGUUAUAUCACCGCUUUGCCUUUUUUGGGUUAUUUCUGUAAUUGAUUUUGUGGUUUAUUGAUGCUUGAAUUUUACACAAACACUGCUUACUCUGUUAUUUCUUUUAAUUUAUUUAUUUUGUCUCACAAUUAAUGUUGUUUAAAAUUUUUAUAAUAUAUUAAAAAUAUAAUAAUUAAUAAAUAUAAAGUAGUCAUUUUAACAAACUAUCAAUUUUUGCAUUAGAUGAAUUUUUAUACAAUUUAUCAAUAUAAAAUAUAGGUCGGCCUGCGGACCUAAUAGGUUUUUUUAUAAGUGUCUGUUUAAAUAAAUAAGCUUUAAAAAUAGUCUGAGGUUAGUCUUUUUAUUAAAUAGGUCAGACCAUAAGCCCUUGACGGACCGUCUAGUCUAUUCUCAUCUCUAUUUCUAGUGAGAGUUUUGAAAAUACGAGAUAGGUAAGAAACUGUGAUAAGCUUUUGUUGGUGAUUUUAUUAAAAAUCAUAGUAAAAUAUAUUUUAUUAUUUGUUAAUUUCUCAUUCUUUCAUCUUGAGUGCCGAUUGCCAUUGGUGAGUUUUGUUACAAAAAAAAACAAUUAUUUUACAAUUUAUUUGUUUCAUAUGACAUUAAGACCAAUCAAUUAUGUGACCAAAGUUUCGAAAAUGCUUUUAAUUCUUACAUAAUUACCGUAAAAUUUACUUUAAUACCUUUGAUGGUAUGGUUUAAUGUAUUUUUAUAUAAAAGACACUUAACACAAUUGUGAAAAUUCUGAUUUUGAAACCAUAAUAAAAUGCAAUAUUAACACCUAUCAGUUAGGCAAUUUAAGAAUUAAUAUGAUUUAAUGUUAAUGAUAUAUAAAAAGGAAAAAACAAGGAAAUAAAACAGGCGAGUGAUUUUUAUUUUAAAGAUUGAGCAUUCUCAAAAUCAUAAGUGUCUUCAGAAGUAUCAUAUAUUAUUGAGAUUUGGUGGAUUUUCUGUGUAAAGAAGACUUACUCAAAUGUGGAGGGUUGUUUUAUCUUACAGACAAUGAGGGUAAAUAUUUUAUCAAAUUUUAAUUUUUUUAGUUUGUAUUGAUAGUUGCAUUUGCAGUUUGUUCGUGUUCGAUUAUUGCAACAAUAGUUAUAUGCUAGUGUUGGAAAAUGUUCUGACACUCUUUUUAUUAAUUUAUAUAAACACUUUUUAACUUGAAAAUAAGUAAAUUCAAAUACACUCUAAUUAAAUAGAGAUAAAUAAAUAAAUUCAUUAAAACAAAAAAAUUGCUCGGUAUAUAGUAGUAAUCAGGUCCGAUUUGGUGGGUCACCAGAUUCUGGUCAGUUGAUCCUUAUUUUGACUACCUAGUGGUCAUGUUGGACUGACCAAACUAUUAGUACAACUAGUUAUCGAUUUAAUUAGAUUUUUGUACUUUGAUCACGAAUGAGCUACUAGUAAAUAUAUUAUGAAUUUUUUAUUGAGCUUUAAAAUGUGGAACAAUUUGAUUAUUAAUUUGAUUUGAGGUAAUUAGUAUUUUUGCACACACCUAUUUAUAAUAAAUGUUUCAAAAAUUAUGUCGUAUAGGUGAAUCAGCUGAAUCAGAAAUCAAAUAGACUGAUUCAAUCAAAUGUAAGAACAGUAGUCUUAAAAAUUGUGUUAAAAUUGUUAGAAUUAAAGAGAAUCAGACAUAAUUGGUGUUGCAACAUCAAUCCGUCCAAAAAUAUAGUGUUUGAAAACUAAUUUGUUUUUCUUAACUUUUCUUUCUUGCUUCAAACUUUUUAAUUUUUGACUAAUUCUCACUUUAUAUAUAAGAGUUUCAUUAUGAUCUAAGAAUUUGUUUCCCUUGCAACUUUCUCACUUGAUAUUUAAUAAUUUAAGGAAUACUUUUUAAACAUUUGCAAGAAAACCAGAAGUUGAUUUAUGAUCAUUUGUCAUAGUGAAUAUCAAUUUCUUUUUAAGUUAUAAAAAAAUGUUUUUGAUACAAUAUUAAAAAAAGCUUCUCAUAAACCAUUUUAUAUUAUUUUUCAUAUUCACAUUAAAAAAAACUAAAUAAAUAAAUGAAUGAAAUUUUUUAAAUGUGAUUAAUGUUUUUAAAAAAAAUAAUUUUUAUGGAUUGCUUCAACAAAAUGACCCUAAAUCUCAUUUACGGUUAUUAUUAUGAAGGUCAAAGUAUUGGGCUUCAAUUUAUGUUGCUACUUUGUUAUGGGCCUAGUGAAGAAACGACACAGUUAUUUUAUUUUUAGUAUUUGUGCACUCUUUUAUUUUUUAUGGAUUUUACAAUAGAUUAUUUGAAAAAGUACAUAUUUGUUUGACUUUUGAAUUUAUAAAUUAUUAUUAUUGACAUGAACUUUUUAUGAAUGUCAGCAUUAUAUUUAUUAUCUAGAUCAACUAUGAUUGGACCCGGGUGCACUAGUUAAACCACGACCGUAAAUAUACACGACCCCACACUAGAACUCAACACCUCAGUCCUAAGCAUCUCCGCAGGAAUUGGUUGCACCGCCGCCAUAGUAUAAUCACCAACAACAUCAAUAGGAUUUCAAUAUGUGUAUUUAAUCUAUUAAAACGGUAUAUUAAAUGGAUUUUGAGUUGAUUGAGUAAUUUCAAAUUAACAAGUGUAAAAUUAUUAAACAAAUGUUAACUUUAAAUUCAACCUUAAUUUUUAAUUUCUAAUUUGAUUAUAAUUACUAAAUUCGUUUAUUGAAUUAUUACUGAAUUCUCUUUAAUAUUCUUGUCAUAAUUCUUAGUGGCAAAUUCUUUAAUUUCAAAAUAACCUCUAAUUUUUUAAUAGAUUUAACGUCAUACAUACUACAUGUAAAACACAUUGAAUACAAUUUUUUGUAAUGAUUUUAACUAUGCUUUUAGAAAUAAUAUUUUUCUUCAAAUUGAAGUCGACAAACAUUCGAGCAAAACAACCUUUUGAAUAAAUAGAAGUAAGGUGGCCCAACGUGGUGACUACAAGAGUACAUAUUCUCCAUAAGAAGUUUCUAUUAUAAAGUUCUAAAAGGAAUUUUGAAAUAUGAAUCCACACAAUGAGUUUCCGAAAUGUAUUAGCAUUAGUACCAAAAAUAGAACAACAUCUAUGAACAAUGAGACAAUGAACAACAAUUAUUUGAAGUCCUUCAAAUAAGGGAGGGAUGAUUGUAAUCCUUCACAUUAGUAAAAUGCCUCAUCCACCAUUCUAAAUUACUUUAAUUAGCUUAGUAUCCAGUCUAAUAAUUUCGGUAUUUGUUAUUUGAGUUAGAUUUUAAAAAUAUAUAUACGUCUUUUAAAUAAUUGACUAUUGAAAUAUUAUCUUUUAACUAAUUGCUACGUGACAAAUAUUUGUUUUAUAUAUGAUUUAUAUAAAAAAUUAUAAUUAGAGUACUUUUUUUCAAUCUUUUAAUGAAAUAUAUAUUUCUCUUUCACAUAUUUGAUUUGUAAAAAUCGUUUUUUAUACUAAUUGACUAAUAAAAACAAUUUGUCUAGUGUAUGAUUUCUAUUGCAAAUUAUAAUUAGUGUAUUAUAAUUUUUUUCAAAAAAUUAUAUAUAGUAUAUUUAAGAGAUAAACUACUUAAAAAUACAUGUUCAUAUUUUAACUGAUUAACUGUGAAAGAUUGUCUUAUAACAAAGUGAGAAUUGUGAGCAUGAGAACAUAUUUUUCUCGUAUAUACCUUAUAUAGAAUAUUAUAAUUACCGUAUUAUAAUAUUAUUUCAAAUUUUACGUGAAAACUAUUCAAAAGACAUAGUUCUUAUGAAAAACAUAUUUCAAUUUCAAUUAAUUAGAAAAGAAAAUAAAUAAUAAUUAUAAUAAUAAUAAUAAUAAUAAUAAUAAUAAUAAUAAUAAUAAUAAUAAAGAUAUUAAAUAAUUUUUAGUGCUUAUAACAUUGUGAUUGUUGUCCUCAUAAAAAAACAACAUUUUUAAUUUCUAUAAUAAAAAAGAAUCAUAUUGUAUAACGUGAGUUUUAAUUUUGUGAUCCUUGUGAAAAAAAGAUUAUAUUUACUAUGACAAAUAUAUCUUCAGUUAUUGACUUUAUAUAAAAUUAAAAAUAAUCCUCUUUUUUAUUCUUUCGUUAGAAAAUUAGAAUUUAAAAGUAAUAUUUUUUAUUUUGAUAUUAUAAAUUUAUAAAUAACAUAUGUUUAGUUUAAUAUUUGUAUUUUUUGAUAUCUGUAUUUUGUUUGGCAUAAGAUAUUAAAAAUUAGUAAAAAUACGCUUGCCCCUUCAGGAACAUCCGAUAAAAUAAAAAUAUACUGCUUCUCACUUUGUUCCACCAUAACCAUCAAUUUUGCAAAAAAAAAAUAUAUAUAUAUAAAAAAAGUUCAUGUUUAGUUUUCAAUAUAUAUUUAUUAUUUUUAAUUAUAUAAUCUAAUUAAUAUUAUAUGUAUUACUUUCAAAUUAUUAUUUUUUACUCUGUAUCUCAUGUAUUUGUUAUUUUGAAGCAAAGUGAACUUAUUUUAUUUCAUCAAUAAGAGUAGGGAUAAUACAAGCUGGAGGAUGAUUGAAAUAAUCGAGAUUAGACUAAAAUAUUGACACUAUAGCUAAAUUAUGGGCAACCAUAUUAACUUGUCUUUCAAUGGAAGGUAACCAAUAGGUAGAGAUGUCAAUAUGGGAUAGUCCGUUCAGUCCGCUAAAACAUAGGACUUGGACUUAAUAAUUUCAGCUCGAAUUUUUUUAGAGCUUUUGAGUUUGGUUCAAAUAAAUCCAUUACCUAUUUGAGUUAGCCCGUAUAAGUACCGGAUAGCCUACAACCCACAUAAUCAAUUUUAAAAAAAGGAAAAUUUGCCUUAAAAAAUGCUCAAUCAAACAAAAAUUAACUUGGAUUGAAUCCAAUUUUUUUAAGAAUUCACAAAGACAUAAUAAAUCAUAUUUUGAAGGAAAAUGUGACGGCACUAUCAAAGUCUCACUCCACAGGUAAGGUAGUGACUAAUUCUAAUUGUUUCCAAAAUAAUUACAUUCAUUCCAAAUGUGUGAGUCCAACGAUGGCACCAAUCUUAACGUCAACAAUCGUUCACAACAUCAUUCCUUCUUCAUGUUAAUUUUUUCACCGCAACGUCAAUCUUCAUUCAAUUUAUGUUGUCGUCAAUCUAAUUCCAACAUCUCUACGUGUAUUUUCGUCCUUGCGCUGACUUCAUUGUGUCGUCUCAUUGCGUCGUCGAUCUCAUCGUUACUAUUACUCAAGUUCUUUUUGUUAUAUUUUGUUUCAAUUUUCUCCAUUUGACUGUGUUGCUGCUAUGUAAGAUUUUUCUCAUUGCGACUGCGUUCUUGCUAUGGAAAAUUUAAUUAUUACUUGUUCUUUUUGUGUUGUUGCUCAAUCUAUGACAAAUUUUUACUUGUGCUCUUUUUAAUGUGUACAUAUGUAUUUAUUCUUUAUGAAAUCUAUUACUAGUGAUCUUUAAAGUAGUUCAUGUUGUUUGUUUAUUUUGAUUUACUAUCUUCGUGUUGUUUGUUUGUUCUAAUUUGAGAUUAUGAUUUUUAGGGAUUAUAGUUUGUAUAUGCUUGCAAUAUGUAAAAUAGUAGUGACAGUGUUGAAAUACUUGAUAAUGAGGCUAAUAAAGCUAAGGAAUCUCAAGCAAUACCAUUAUUAGUUCAAACUCAACCUAAUGUAAUUGUUAUUGAUGACGCUAAUCAAGAAGUGUCUUAUGAACUACAAACUAAAAAAAGUAAGACACUAACCUCUGCAAUUUAGAAAUAUCUUGUAAAAGUUGGUGUUGUAGACGGAAAAGAAAGAUGUAGAUGUAAUGGGUGUGGAAAAUUAUCGAGUUGUGUUUCAGCUAAUGAAACUUCUCAUUUAUGUUGUCAUGUUGAUAAUUAUAAAAAGGUCCAUAAGUAUCAUGAUGUGAAUGAUAUGCUUAUUAGUGCUGAAGGAAAAUUGAAAAAGAAAAUUUGUUACCCUAAAAGUUAAUCGUGAAAUCUUAGCUGAAAUGAUGACACGCACAUUACACCAUUUAAUAUAGUUGAGUGGAGAGUUUUUAGAAAAUAUCAAAAAAAAUUGAAUGAUGAUUGUUCUUUUGUUUCAAGAAAUACUCAUUCCAAAGAUGUUUUGAAAAUUUUUGAAGAUGAAAAACAAAAGUUAAAAUCACAAUUGACUCAAAUUUGUGGGAGAGUUUGCUUGACUUCCGAUUGUUGCACUGCAUGCACCAAUGAAAGUUUUAUUUCUUUAACGGCUCGUUAUGUAGAUGUGAAUUGGAAGUUGCAAAAUCUUAAUUGCAAACUUAGUUUGUGUGUUAUUUUAUUGUGUAUUUUAAUAAUUUAGAAUGUCAUAUUUCGGUUGCACUUGUCUUCUUGAGUCAAAUAUCAAUCGAUAAUUUACAAUCGUUCAAAUUGAUUCAUACUUAAUGUAUAAAUAAUAUACCAUACUUAUUUUUAAAUGAGCAUGAAAAAAAUUUCAAAUUAAAAUAGUCGCAAAAAAUUAAAAAGAUAAUAAAUAAUUAUAGAAAAAAUAUGUGAGUUACCCGCCCAACCCGCAACUCGUCUAGGGUCGGACUCCGAAGAAACUCAUAAUCUCUAGGAAUGACCAUAAAUAGAUUAGGUAACCAGUUUUGAUAAUUCUACCUACAGAUAGCAUCGGACGGAAGGAAGUAAAAAUCAAUGAUACUUUUAUUUAAGAUAGUCUUAAAAAAUACAAUAAUUUUCUUUUGAAGAUAAGAGUUAGUGGUUAUGAGAGAAGUUUACUCCUUAUAGCAUAGCAAACUGACAAUAAUAAAUGAUACUUUAAAAAGAGUAGUUUGUAUUUUUCUAUGAAGUACGGUUUUUAAUAAAUAAUAAUAAAACAUGAUCAUUUAUAAAUCUAUAUAUAAAAAUUACACAAAUACAUAAUGAAUAUAAUUUAAUAAACUUAAUAUUCUCUUUAUUCUAUCAGUACUUUUUUCUUAACUUAUGUAUUAUGAACAAAUGUAAUAAAUUUUAUGGAAUAAUUAGAGUAUUAUUUAAUACCAUCAAAACUAAAACCGUUGAUCAACUACAUUAAUUCGAUAUCCCAGCCGAUUUUAAUUACAUACAAACAAAUUGAUGCAUACUCAUUUUUAAUUUGUCACCAAACACAACAACAUUACCUCAACCUCAGCAAAUUGAAUCAAUGAGAACCUUUUGCAUACAUUGAAUAUAGUCAUCGUAGAAAAAGGCAGAAGACAAAAGUUCAAUUCACCCGAAUAAGAUUUUUCAAAAUUGAAAGAAAACGGCAUAGUGGGAGACAAAGUCUUAAAAAGAAUAAAUUAAUUGUGAUUUUGACAUGUGAAAAAAUGAUGAAGACAUGUAGCCCAAUAGAUAACAGGCAAGUGUAAGGAAUAUAAAGAAGUAUGGGCCAGACUAUUAGCAAAAAGUGUUGUAUAAAUUAGGAAAUAUUACUUUUCAUAAUGAAUAUUAUUUAUAUUAAUUAAUUUACAUAUAUUAAAAAUAAUUAAAAUAAUAUUUAUAAUAUUAUUUAAAGGAUGAAUUAAAAAAUAAAAAAUAAUUUACCCUGCAAAAUAAAAAUAGUGACAAAAUUAGUUUUAUUAAAAUGACCAUCAUUUGAAAAUGGAUUGGAUGGAAUAUUUAUUUUUGUCAAAAAAAUAGGAUGGAUUAUUUGAGAGUGCCCGUAUAUUUGAGACCAGGUGAAUUGUUUGAUUUGACAAAAAACCAAGAGGCAUGCAACGUGUGAGUGGCCCCAGUUUGAUAGAAAAAAUAAUAAAGAAUAAUUGUUAAUUUGAUGAAAAUAUCAAAAUGUUCGGCUAUAGUCAAGAAUAGAUAGCAUAGCAGUCAACCACGUCAUAUCUACAUCGUGAUUUGAGAUUUUCCUUUUAACAAUUUGGCUUUUUUGUUUAAGACAAUAUCAAUGCUGGAUCUCAUCAUCAUCAACAUUUGAAAAUAAUACUAUUGAAUUGAUCCAAUUAAUUUCUGUUUUAUGUCGUCCAACUUCCACCACAUAUCGGAAUCAGAGCACUAGGAUUGUAUAGAAUUGGAUGAAUUUUGACCAAAUUUAGUAUUUGAAUUCAUGAAUUUGAUUUAGAGGAUUGAGGUGGGUUAAGCUGUGUUAAAACGUUGGUCGAAUUUGAUAUGAAUUCUUGACUUUUUAUUUUGAUUAAAUAUGAUAUUUUCUUGUGUCUCUAUUAUAAUAAAAAAAAUAUAUGUAUUUUUUUAGUUUGAAUGGUAGCAAAAGGUAACUCUUUUCAAUAUACAUUCAUUUUUAGAAUUAGUUUUAUAUCCAUAUUUAAUGUGAUGCUAGUAGUAUGUUUGAAAUAAAAUUUUAGUUUUAUGACACUAAAUAAGUUCAUUGUUCUUGGUGAUUUUUAUAAUUAUUGCUUCUUAUGUAGGCACCUAAGGCAAAGUAAGCCUCGUUUUAUUUCAAUUCAUUUUGUGUAUAUAAUCAAAUAGCAAAAUAUUUAUGCAUUAAUAUGAGUCAGUACGAAUUAUGCAAGAUUGAUUACUAUAUAAAUGUAAAUAAUAUAAAAAUAAAUUAAAAAAUAUAUUCAUCAAUUAAAUGUAAAAAAAUUAAAUGUCAAUUAAUGUACUAAAAAAUUAGGUCGUAAGUAUUUUCGAUUUUAAAAACAAUUUGCAAAUAAGAUUGAGACAUAGUGAAUAUUUUAAUAAGUAUGAAUAUGGUUAUGAAGACACUAACCAACAAUGGUUUAACUCACUAUCACAUGAGUUUAGAUUAACUAUAGUUGGAGCACAUUUUUAGUUAUCCAAAGUAAUGGAUUAUAAGAAUUAGGUUUCAAUCUUUUGUUUAUAAAUAUCAAUUGUAAAUAUUCUUUUUGGAACAUUAUAAUCAAUCAUACACUUAUUUUAUUUAUAAUUUAACUGCACUUUACUUUUAUUUACAUUUUUCUAAAGGAUUUUUUUAUUAAAAAAUAUCCACAAAUAUCUCUUAACAUUUUUAGAAUAAUUAAGGAAUCAACUACACAAACCAACAUAGUUUAUUUUUUAUUUUUUGGUGUAGUAGAAAAAUAAAUCAUUGUUUGAGAUUUAUUAGCCAAAUCCUUGGUUAUCUUUCCAACUCGACAAUCCUUUAAAAUGUUAUUUUUUAGUAUAUUAUAUAUGAUAAUUUUCUUUAAUUUAUAAUUUGUUUGAUGUAAUUUAAAUAUAUAAUUAUACAUCCAUAAAAAUUUAAAUUAGUCAAACUAAUUCAAACUAUGCUUAAAGUGAAAAUAAUUAAUAGUUAAAUUAGUAAAAUUCAACGUGAACAAAUAAUUAAUAAACAAAAUAUCUAACAAGUUUAUUCUUAGAAUAAGUUAAUCUUUACCUUAUAUAUAUAUAAUUGUUUUUUACGUCAUUUUAAAUAUAAUUAAUAUUGUUACUUUGCAAUGUUAACUUUAAUUAUAUUAGUAUUAUAUUAUAAUAUGUUACUUAACAUAAUAUAAAUAAAUAAUUAUGUAUUUGUAAAAACUGAAUGAAGAAAUCCAAUUCAAAUAUCAAUUAAUUAGAUUGGAUCAUAUUUUUUUUAGAAUAAAUAAUUUAAAUUAAAUUAAACUCGUACUUUAUUUUUAAUCAAGUGAUUUUCUACAUCAAAACCAACUCAAAUUAAAUAAUGGACACUUACGAUGUGAUCACGUGACAUUAUAACGCGCGUAUAUAACAUAACAAAAAGUAACAUUAACAAAUAACAAGUAUUUAAAAAAAAAAAUGAUCACGUUAUAUUAAUAAAUAUUGAGAAAUUAACAACUCUUACUAAUUAUAAAAUAAAUAAAUAAAUAUAUAAUGUAUAUACUAGUUUUUUAGACAGUAAAUAAUACGAUUAUUUUUGCGUGACAGAGGCAUCCCUGGUGGGUUGUUGACGUGGAUUUUCCGUGUCAUUUUCAAUUGACAAAUUCUCAGAUUCUAUACGCUUGGCUAUUUGGGUUUUCAGAUUUCUUUAUUAUUAUUAACUUUUUCCCUUCUGGCUGCACAAAAAAAAUAACCUUUUUCUCUUUUGGAAUACUCCUAAGUCGUGACUCGUGAGAGAGGCAUGCGUUGGAAACAAUUGGGAAGCACAUGUCUUAGACUUGGAGCAUUUCUAUUGGCCAAUCAUCCACAUAUGUCCACACUUUUUCUUUGGAUUUGUAAAUGUUUCACUCAAAAGUGGAAUAGCUGACACAAGCGUCAUAUAAUCUUUUUUGGGUUCCUUGCUUUAAAUUUAAUUGAUGGUUUGAAUUUUAGGUAACACUCAUCACCUACGCAUAUACUUCUAAAUUAUUUUAUGGGUCAUUGCUAAUAAAUGCUCUAAUCAUACUUGCUAUAAACAAUUAAAAGAUAAAAUUUUGUUAUAUAAAAUAAAUAAAUUUUAAACUUUAAAAAGUGAAAAACACAAAUUUUAUGUAAUUUUUUUUAUAAACUUUUAUAUUUAAAUUACUAAUAAGUAAUGUUUCAAGUAAAAUUUAAUAAUUUUACACAAUAUUUUGCUUUUAUUUCAUUAACAGAUAUCAUAGCAAUAGUGAUUAGCAUUAUAUAUAUGUCUUCAAAGUUUCUAUUCGUUGGACCAAUCUCUAAUUUCAUUAUUUGAUCAAGACUUUGUCCCUUUCUCAAUAUAAAUUGUUUCACAUAUUCAAAGUUAGGUUCUCCUUUUUUAAUCCUCUUAUUUUUUAAAUAAUUUAUUAUAAUAAUUUAAAGUUCAAUUAGCAGAUCAUAAAUUUAAUAAAAAAAAUAUUUUUACUAAAAUUCAAACUAUAAUUAUAAAAAAAAAGAUUCAUAAUUAAAAUUAAUUAAUUAAUCGUUCCCCACAUAAAAUUUUUCAAAAUAUAGAGAACCAAACGUUGAAAAAUACACAUUAUUCCCUCUUUCCCUUCCUUUCUUUUUCUUUUAUGAUAAUCUAUGCAACCAAAUACGUUUAGUUUACUGUACAUAAAACGGCCGACUUCUAGUCUAUAUGGGCCCAUAAAAAAACGAAAUUUUCUUCCUAUAAAAUAUAAUAUUUCACAAGGACACGAUCACUUGCUUAGAAAAGAAGCAAAUUAAUACUACACUAUAUACUCUUCCGAACUACACACCAAUUACAACGUUAGACAUAUACUUAUUACUUUGACUUAAUUAUAAUUUGAGUAUAUAUAUUCAAUUUUGAUCCAUAAAGUUUUUUCGAGCAAUUUUACUCUUUCAUUUUAAAAAUUAGAUAAAUAUAGAUAAUCCAAAAAUUGUUUUUUAUUAAAAUAUUUUAGACUAAAUGUUAUGUUUGAGAUAUAAAUUAAAAUUAAAAAUUUUAAAAGCAAAAUUUUUGAUAUAAUUUUUUUAAGAAUUUUUCAUAAGGUGAGAUUAGGAUUUCAAGAUAAGUAAGAUUGAGAUUUUCAAUGUUUAGUUAAAUUUGAUAUUUUAAUUGGUAAAUAUUAAAUGAAAUAAAGUUUAAAACAAUUUAAUCCAUUUGAAUUGUGAAUUUUUUUCAAUAGAAUUUGAGAGUUUUGAACAAAUAAAAAGGGAUGAAGGGACUUGAUUGAAACAACUAAAGCCUUUGAGGGAUUAGAAUGGAUCAAAAAAUUAGAGGGAUUAAAGUCAUACAUAGAUCAAACUAGAAGAAAGUCCAAAACGAAACAAAAUCCGGAUCCCCUGCCAAAACCAAAUUACACUUCAUUAAAUUUUUCGAAUCCGUAGCUAAAAACUCGCCACUGCGUAACAAAAAAGCGAACCGAAAAUAAACACCACCCUACACACCAAAAAACCAGCGACAAACAAAAAAAGAAUUACAAUUUUGCAAAAGAAAAUAUUCAGAUUUAUUUUUCAGUAUUUUUUUUCCAAAUUCAUUUUCUUUUUACAUAUGUGAGAAGUUUUCUUGUUUCACACAAUUCCUCAUCCCUAUUAACUCAGUGGGAUUUUUCUGCUACAGCUGCCGAGUCAACUCGUGAGUAACAAAUUUCAAUUUUUUUUCUUAUAUGGCUUGUCUUUAUUUCAGUUUUUCACUAACCCCAUUAAUUCAUUUUAUUUUUUUGCGUAGUUUUGUAGCAUUUCUAAAUUGCGGGUAUUAUAAUGUUUUUGUGUGUGUUUAGUGAAGUGUUUAUGUUAUUUUGUUAGUGCAUGUAAGGAUUAAGUAUCUAAAGUAAAAAUGCCAAAUUAAGUAUUGCUUUGUCAUUCCAAUUCCAAUGCAUCAUUAAUUACAUUUCUCCAUUUUAACUCUUAUUAGUUAUAUUAUAUACAAGAUAUGUUGUUUUUAUUGCAAAUUUUCAUUGACCAAGUACAUUGUUAAGCAUGCAUUUAUUAACAAACAUGGUUAAUUUAGUAAAUUUAUUUGAUUAAUCAUAUCAAUUAGACUUUUAGUACACGUUCAAACUCUGACUACAUAAUUUGAGAAUUUAUGAUAUUAAAUAUUGAAGACAAACGCAAUAUUCAUGUGAUACUCUUGUCUCUUUAUCUACAUUUGAUUUUAAUGAAACUUUUGAAGUAUUCUCAAUUUUUACUUAUGUCAAAAUGUUGUUAGUGUACAUUAGCUGGACCAAGAGCAGCUGGGUGUAGUUUGGUUAAUUAAUUGGUCGAAAACAAGACGCGUGUUCUGAUCUACUCAGCUAAUCAAUCACGAUCUUACACUUAGCAGCACCAUUAGGAUAACAUUUUUAUAAUAUAAAUAUGUCGUUAAUCUAUCCUAGUUGAUAGGAGUAAUGUUUGGAAAUUAUUCCGUUCCACUAACCGCCCAUUUAAAUAUUUGGUUUUCUAAGUUGUCGUUCGGAAAAAUGAAAAGUCUUGCCUUCAAUCUUCUUUACUUCAAAACCUUAUCUUCACUUCUUUUCUUUCUUCGACUUUCUUCACUCGUUCAAAUAGUAAAGCAUUAGUAAGGAGUAAUUAUAUCUUAUAAUUUCUUUUAAGAUAUAAAAAUUAAAUUAGUAAUUUGAAAAAUGUUUAAGUCCAUACUCAACCAAACAAAAUUAACAAAAUUUAUGUAUAAAAAUUUGUGCAUUUAAUUUUUUUUAAAUUAAUUUUUUUUUCAAUACAAAAUUAUAUUUUUUAUUUAUAAUAACAAAUGCCAAAUAAGACCUUAAUUUAAAUAUAAUUUUCAUAAUUUAAAAUUGAUUAUUGAUAUCUCAACCAAACUAUUAUAUUUCAUUUUACAUAGUGCUAUUAGUGUUAUCUUAAAAAAAUGUCAUAUUUAAGUAUUUUUUAAUUAAAUAUAUUAUUUUCUAUUGUAACUUAUGUAAUUCUAUAAUAUAAAAAAAGUACAUAACUGUUUUCAUAGUAUAAAAAUUUAAUUUAAUUUUUUUUAUAAAUAUUUUUAAAUAAGUAUCACAAAUUUCUAAAAGAUUAAUUUAAUUAAAUCAAACCAAAUCAACAUAUUUUUGAUAUGUUUAGUUUAAAUAUUAUGCGAAAAAUUGAAAGAAAAAAAAAUCAAGCAAAAAUAAAUAUUAUAUACAUAGCUCAAUCUCUUGCAAAUUUAUGCAUUUUCUUAAUAUGAACUCCCCUUGAUUUUUAGUUGCAUUUGCAAAUUCCCUUACGUGUUUAUAUAAUAAAUUUACAUUUUAAAAUUUCAAUACACAAUUAUAUAUUAUGUUUAAUAUUUUAAUUAAAUAUUAAAAAAUGGAUGACUGCAAUAUCUUUUUGAAGGUCUGCCACCAGCGACAGAAUGCGACCUGCGGCAAUAACCACAAGAGGUAGUUUGAUUUGAUGUAGUAAUAGUUCCGAAUCACAAGUUAGGUUCACAUUAAAAUCAAAUUUACAUAAUAAAUUAAUCUGAACCGUGGAUCUAGAUCGAACGGUCAAGACUGAGUAGUAAGUGGUGCACUGUCAAGUACAAAUCAGCAGUGAAUAGUGAUGAUGUAAAUGAUAUAUCAUAUCACCUAUAAAUAGUAGCAAACCCACCCACCCGAAUAUUACGAACCAAAAAACUAUGGAUAGAGAGUCGAUGGUUGUUUACACCAUCGGAGCCAUUGUGGUGCUAUUUCUCCUCACCUAUUCACCAAACAACAACAAUCACUCCACCCCCCACCACCGCCUCUUUCUCCACCGUGAUGAAAACCAAGAAUCGAACACUAACCAUUCACACACAUCUGAAGAGUGGGACGAAAACUUAAAUGUAACUGACACGAUUGUCCGUAUAUUCCCGGAAAUCGAUGCGGACCCCACAGAUCAGUUUGUGGACCUCCACGAAUUAACUGAAUGGAACUUCGAGCAAGUUCAAAGAGAAGUAUUGCAUCGAAGUCAGAGAGAAAUGAACAUUCACGACAAGAACCACGACGGUUAUCUUUCCUUCUCCGAAUACGGUCCUCCAACGCCAGGUGCUCCUCUUUCAACUUUCACUCUACUUUUCUUCUUUCACCAUUUUUUUCUUUUUUCUUUUUUUCCUGUAAAUCAGCUUUUUGGUUUAAUCUAAGUUGAGUAUGCGUUAUGAACUUCUCACCGUUCACUUUAACUGUUUUUCAAUCGAUUCUAUGGUGUCACCGGCGAAAAUAUCCAAACACAUUUUAUUGCUUAAAGAAAUCUUUAACUAUAGAUCCACACACCGGAAGCGCCACAAACCUCCGCGCCGGAGUUCCACUUCCUUCAUUUCACGCCGCCGUGAGAAAACUUUUUUCGCCGCCGGCGAAUCUUCCUCCUCAAACCCAGCAGUGACCGGAGAUCACACCACGAUACGCGAAACCUCGCUGUGGAGUUUUGAAUUGCGUUUCAGAAAUCUUAUUACUUUCCUUCGUAAAUACGAAUGUUUUAAGCUUCCGUGGAUGGAACGGCCGCAACCGUUGACAAGGGGUUUUAGGUUUUUUUUAUUUUAUUUGUUGGGGUAAGUUUCACAAUUUUCGAUUUUUCAAGUUACUUUCUUUUGAAUAAUAAAUUUGAAGAUUUUAUUUUUAUCUAAAAAAGGGAAUUUUAUGAGUUAUUCUUUUGUGAUAUGUAGUAUACCGAGCCCCACCUUCAUAGUUAACUUUAUAAAUUUGCAAUUUUGUUUUGAUAGUUACAGUUUCAUUUCAAAUCAUCGGUGUAGGUUAAUUAAACAUGAUUUGGUGAAGUUGUAGUGUGAGCCAACCGAUCUUAGAUUGAUGGCCAAGAUUAAUCGCAUUUUUGUUUCUUUUGAACCUUUAUUCUUGUGUAUUGAAUUGAAUGCUGUAAAUCUUAAUACUAGUUUGUCUUUUUCAUUCAUCAGAUGGUUCUUUUGGUUAUGAUUCGAGGUUGUCGGAAGAGGAACAUUUUAAUGCAUCCGACGCAGACGGAGAUGGUUUUCUAAACUUAGCCGAGUUCAAUGAGUGAGCUUCUUUCUACUAAUAGCUUGUUAGGAAACCCUGUUAGUGUUGCUGCACAUGCAGAUCUAAUCUAGCUACUGUGCUUUUCCUAUUUAUAUAUGCUAAUUUGUUACUAUUCUUGUAGCUUUCUUCAUCCUGCUGACAGCAACAGCGCAAAGAUUAAAGAAUGGCUUUCCAAAAUGGAUGUCAGGUAACUAUUUUCAUGCAAACAAAACUUGCAUCAUAUUGGGCAUGUUUCUUUCAGAAUAACAUCUGUUUGUUUGGAAACGAAAAUUGGGGGAUGCCUCCAAGAAAUAUAAAUGAAUAAUCUUUUUUUACUUCUGUAGAUAGAUGGUAAUUGUUUGUAGAGCUAUACAAGGUUCUUUUCUCUUACAUCCACAUGAUAUUAGACACUAGUGUUUAAUACAGGAGUAUCUAAGAGAGGUUUGGUAUAAAGUUUCAAUUGAAUGAUGCAACUACUCAUUUAUAGAAGUUGGUAAAGCUUUUUACUUAAGCAUCUUAGAUUCACACAAGAUACUUGCGAUCUGUGGGAUUGUUUGUUUGGCAUAUACCUUAAUGACAAAUCUUGUAACCGAGUACCAAAAACAAGCAUCUAGCUCAGUUAUGUAGCUUUUCAGGGAAUCCUAAACAUCUGAAUGAAGUGUUGCUGAAUAUGUUACUGUUUUUUGGCCUUUCUUUGUCAUCCUUUU
rnacentral:lncRNA from 1 species